rnacentral:rRNA from 1 species
ACAGUUAAAACACCAAUUGUUCGCCAAAUAACUACGAGUAAAAACUUAAAAUUUAAAAGACUUGACGGUACUUCACACCACCCUAGAGGAGCCUGUCUAAUAACCGAUACCCCACGAUUAACCCGACCCGCCCUAGCCCAAUCAGUCUAUAUACCGCCAUCGCCAGCUCACCUUGUAAAAGAAACACAGCGAGCCUAAAAGCACUACCACUAACACGAUAGGUCGAGGUGUAACCAAUGGGCGGGAGCCAGAUGGGCUACAUUUUCUAACAUAGAAAAUACGGAUGAACUAUGAAAAAGAAACCGAAGGAGGAUUUAGCAGUAUGCUGAGGACAAAAUGCUCAGCCGAAAUAAACGCAAUGAAGUGCGUACACACCGCCCGUCAUCCC